GCAGACGCGCGGGCGGGAAGAUGGCGGCUGGGUUCAACUAAAGGGUGCAAACGAAAACAUCUGUGGUCUCCGUGGUUGUUAAAGUUGCAGAACCGUGGAACCUCUGGAGUAUUACAGGAGAUUUCUGAAAGAGAACUGCCGUCCUGAUGGAAGAGAACUUGGUGAAUUCAGAACCACAACUGUCAACAUCGGUUCAAUUAGUACCGCAGAUGGUUCUGCUUUAGUGAAGUUGGGAAAUACUACAGUAAUUUGUGGAGUUAAAGCAGAAUUUGCAGCACCACCAACAGAUGCCCCUGAUAAAGGAUACGUUGUUCCUAAUGUGGAUCUACCACCCCUGUGUUCAUCGAGAUUCCGGUCUGGACCUCCUGGAGAAGAGGCCCAAGUGGCUAGCCAGUUCAUUGCAGAUGUCAUUGAAAAUUCACAGAUAAUUCAGAAAGAGGACUUAUGCAUUUCUCCAGGAAAGCUUGUCUGGGUUCUAUACUGUGAUCUCAUUUGCCUCGACUACGAUGGAAACAUUUUGGAUGCCUGCACAUUUGCUUUGUUAGCGGCUUUAAAAAAUGUACAGUUGCCUGAAGUUACUAUAAAUGAAGAAACUGCUUUAGCAGAAGUUAAUUUAAAGAAGAAAAGUUAUUUGAAUAUUAGAACUCAUCCAGUUGCAACUUCCUUUGCUGUGUUUGAUGACACUUUGCUUAUAGUUGACCCUACUGGAGAGGAGGAACAUCUGGCAACGGGAACCUU
rnacentral:sRNA from 1 species